rnacentral:tRNA from 1 species
GCCGACGUAGCUCAACGGUAGAGCAGCGGUUUUGUAAACCGCCGGUUGCGGGUUCGAAUCCCAUCGUCGGCU